rnacentral:rRNA from 1 species
UUGACCUCGGAUCAGGUAGGGAUACCCGCUGAACUUAAGCAUAUCAAUAAGCGGAGGAAAAGAAACCAACAGGGAUUGCCCUAGUAACGGCGAGUGAAGCGGCAAUAGCUCAAAUUUGAAAUCUGGCUCCCAUUUUCGGGGGUCCGAGUUGUAAUUUGUAGAGGGUGCUUCGGCGUUGGCCUUGGUCUAAGUUCUUUGGAACAGGACGUCAUAGAGGGUGAGAACCCCGUACGUGGCCAGUGGUCUUCGCCAUGUGAAGCCCCUUCGACGAGUCGAGUUGUUUGGGAAUGCAGCUCUAAAUGGGAGGUAUAUUUCUUCUAAAGCUAAAUACUGGCCAGAGACCGAUAGCGCACAAGUAGAGUGAUCGAAAGAUGAAAAGCACUUUGGAAAGAGAGUUAAAAAGCACGUGAAAUUGUUGAAAGGGAAGCGCUUGCAACCAGACUUGCUUGCAGUUGCUCAUCUAGGCUUUUUGCCUGGUGCACUCUUCUGUAGGCAGGCCAGUAUCAGUUCGGGCGGUUGGAUAAAGACGCUGGGAAUGUAGCUCUCCUCGGAGAGUGUUAUAGCCCAGCGUGUAAUACAGCCAGCCUGGACUGAGGUCCGCGCUUCGGCUAGGAUACUGGCGUAAUGGUUGUAAGCGGCCCGUCUUGAAACACGGACCAAGGAGUCUAACAUCUAUGCGAGUGUUUGGGUGUCAAGCCCGGGCGCGUAAUGAAAGUGAACGGAGGUAGGAACCUCUUCGGAGGCGCACUAUCGACCGAUCCUGAUGUCUUCGGAUGGAUUUGAGUAAGAGCAUAGCUGUUGGGACCCGAAAGAUGGUGAACUAUGCCUGAAUAGGGUGAAGUCAGAGGAAACUCUGAUGGAGGCUCGCAGCGGUUCUGACGUGCAAAUCGAUCGUCAAAUUUGGGCAUAGGGGCGAAAGACUAAUCGAACCAU